AAAGGUAGCGUAAUCAUUAGUUUUUUAAUUGAAAGCUUGUAUGAAUGGUUGGACGAGGUAAUAACUGUCUUUAUUUAAUUUAUGGUAGAAUUUAACUUUUGAGUUAAAAGGCUCAAAUUUAAUUGAUAGACGAGAAGACCCUAUAGAUCUUUAUUUAUAAGUUUAUAAGUUGUAUUUGGAUUGAUUUCACAGUUUAUGAUUUUAUGAAUUUUAUUGGGGUAAUAUAAAGAUUAAAUGAAUUCUUUGAAUAUUUAAACAAUAAUGAUUGAUAAAUUGAUCCAUUAGUAUUGAUUGUAAGAUUAAGUUACCUUAGGGAUAACAGCGUAAUUUUUUUAAAGAGUUCAUAUCGAUAAAAAAGU
rnacentral:rRNA from 1 species